AAUACAUGCAGUCGAGCGCGGGAAGCGAGUGGAUCCCUUCGGGGUGAAGCUCGUGGAACGGAGCGGCGGACGGGUGAGUAACACGUGGGCAACCUGCCUGUAAGAUCGGAAUAACCCCGGGAAACCGGGGCUAAUGCCGGGUAAUACUUUCUUUCGCAUGAAGGAAAGUUGAAAGAUGGCUUCUCGCUAUCACUUACAGAUGGGCCCGCGGCGCAUUAGCUAGUUGGUGAGGUAACGGCUCACCAAGGCGACGAUGCGUAGCCGACCUGAGGAGGGUGAUCGGCCACCACUGGGACUGAGAACACGGCCCAGACUCCUACGGGAGGCAGCAGUAGGGAAUCUUCCGCAAUGGACGAAAGUCCUGACGGAGCAACCGCCGCGUGAACGAUGAAGGUCUUCGGAUCGUAAAGUUCUGUUGUUAGGGAAGAACAAGUACCGUGCGAAUAGAGCGGUACCUUGACGGUACCUAACGAGGAAGCCCCGGCUAACUACGUGCCAGCA
rnacentral:rRNA from 1 species